CGAGGAUCACUCAUGAGAAGGAGCGCUUGUUUUGCUGACCAGAGACACCUUACCUCUGUGCUCAUUUUGUGAAACUGCAGAGUCGCGAGGAUCACUCAUGAGAAGGAGCGCUUGUUUUGCUGACCAGAGACACCUUACCUCUGUGCUCAUUUUGUGAAACUGCAGAUGCAGAUGGAGAAUUAAAGACAACUGAUGCCACAGCCUGAGCAGCUUCUCGUGAUUUAUUUCUACACUCAGAGAGGACACCAGAUACACAUAGGUCACAUAUGUUCAGUCAUGGUACAGUAUACAUGUGUAGUGAGUUAAGGUCAAAACCUCACCUAUGACCACCAAAUUAUGUUCACUUCAUCAAUGAGUCUGAGUGAACAUUUGUCUUAGAUUAAAUCUGUAGGGUCUUUACAUCACAGUAUACAGUGCCUUUGGACAGGAUUUGUUGACUGUAACAGGUGCUCUAUGAUUAAAAUUGAACAGAUCUAAAGAUCUUGAAAUUUGGGUUUAUUAGAACAUGACACACCAGCAGCAUCUGACAGAACAGCAUUUAAUGUUCUGGGAUGUGGCAAGCUUACAGAUAAAAGUGCAGUUACUAGAUUUGUUUUGUUAGCUCUUGUUUUUCAAAGACAAUGAGGAGCAAACAAUGUGCAAAGCACCAUGAGAAAUGUAUGUUCUGAUGAAGACUUUAAACAGCAGCUAAGUGAAUCUGGAUCCAUGCUUGGGGUUUUGUGUCCAUUUUCUAUAAAAAUCCUCAGCAAUGACAGCACUUAAAUUUCUGGGUUCAAAAAUCCCUUUUUUUCUGCUAUGCUCAAGAUGUGCACACACGUGUGCUUGGUACCUCUCUCCAUGUACCAGUGUCACAAAGUCCCGAAUGCAGCCAUCAGUCUGCAUGUUCAGCCUUGGAGAAAAUAAACUUAAUGUUUCCUGGGAUUUACAGUUGUUCCGUUCAUACAGGAACUUGAGCAGUCUGGGUGAAUGUGUCACUGUUUGGUCCUUCCAAGAAAAAAAAGGAAAAAGAAAAUUAAAGGGUUUUUUUGGUUGUUUUCUUUUAAGCUACAAAUGAAUCCAAUCUCAUUGUACAUCCUGUAUAAUGACAAUAAAGGCAUUCUAUUCUAUUCUAAAUAAAAUGAAUAAAACUCCUAAUUGAAGAUUAAUAUUGAGCAAACUAAAGUGCAAGAUGAUUGAAAAUAAAUUAAAUUUAAUGGAUUUGCCUUCUAAGGCAGCACAGUGGUGUGGUGGUUGGCGCUGUUGCCUGACAGCUAGAAGGGCUGUGUUUGAAUCCACCUGGGCCUUUCUGUGUGGAGUUUGCAUGUUCUCCCUGAGUUUGCAUGGAUUUUUGAUGAGGACGGAUUGAUUUGUAUUCUACCAUGGAAAGCCAGCAAGAAAGAAUAGAUUUAGGUUUUGGUCACACCUGCUGAGGACUAUCAUUCAUAAAUUUCCUAUAUUAUGUAUAAUAUAAUGUGCCUAAAAUACCACAUAAACCAAGAUAUUUAACAAGCACUUAACAGCAUCCAGUUGCAAUAUAAGCAGUUUAUUACUAAAGUAAAAUAUCCAUCCAUCCAUCCUAUUCAGGGUUGUGAGGGGGAGGCUAGAGCCUACCCCAGCUGCCAUAGGGUGAGAGGAGGGUUACACCCUAGAUAGGUCACUAGCGUGUCUCCUGGAGAGAACCCAUGCAGAUAUGGGGAGAACAUGCAA